GUGCGUGCAAGGGGCAGGACCACGACCUACCAAGGCCAACGCCCUGCAGUGCCCCAUCCACCAGCUCCGCCUCUUCCUUCCACACCCAGCUCCUCUCCAGGGCCUUCUCCUCCGCACUAGGAGUGUGUCCCUCAAAUGCUCCCUCCCAGUUGUCUUGAAAAGCUGGCUAAAGGAGAAGAAGCUGUCUGAAGAGCCUCCUGCAGGCCCAGCUGACUGCUUACCUGAGAAUAAUGAAACUUACAUUUCCACUCAGCAGUCAAGCACAGAAAUUGACCCUGGCACCUUUGUAAGCUAAUCGAGUUACAAAAGGAAUCCUCUUAGGAUCAAAUUCAGGACAACAGCUGCUCUGCUGAUCCAUUUUUAUUAUUACCUUUUCCUUAAAAUCUGCUCUGCCACCCUCUGAUCCAGCCCAACCCAGCCUGGGCGUGUCUGAGAGGCUGGGCAGGGCCCAGGCAUGCACUGAAAUUGAANUAGACAAUUUAGAUAGAAGAAGUUUCUAGAAAGACACAAAUUUACCAAAACCGACUCGAGAAGAAACAAAAUCUGAAUAGACCCAAACUGUUAAAUAUAGACCCAAACCAUUAAAUAAGUUAAAUUAAGCAUUAAAAAUCUUCCCAUGAAGAAAAGGCGGGUCCCAGAAAGCUUCACUGGUGACCACCCUGUCAAAUACUGAAAGAAGAAAUACCAUUCAUCACAACUCAGGAGACAGGGAGGGAACACUCGUUCCAUUCUAUGAGGCCGGUGUUAUCCUGACACAAAAGACAAAGACAUCACAGACAUCACAGAACUACGGACCAGAAUCUCUCAUGAACAUAGAUGCAAAAAUCCUUAGCAAAUAUUAGCAAAUGGAAUCCAGCAACAUAAAAAAAAAUAAGAUUACACCAUAGCCACAGGGAUUUGUCCCCGGAAUACAAAGUUAGUUUAACAUCCCAAAUCAAUUAAUGGAAUACACCAUAUUAAUAGAGUAAGGGAUAAAACCCACAUGAUCAUCUCAACAGUAGCAUAAAAAGCGUCUGGAAAUCCAACACGAUGCAGAUGUUCAGCAUCAUUAGUCAUCGGGGAAAUGGGAAUUGAAGGCACAAUGAGAUUCCCCACCUGGAUGGCUAUCAUCAGAAGACAGACGACAAGAAGUAUUAGGAGGGAUGUGGAGAAACUGGAACCUCAAUUGCCAGUGGCACAUUUGGCAAUUUCUUUCUUUCUUUUUUUUCUUUUUUCUUUUUUUUGUACAAGGAAUUGAACCCAGGCUUACUUAUUAAGCCACAUCCCCAGCCCUUUUUGAGACAGGAUCUCACUAAGUUGUAUAGGACUUCACCAAGUUGUCGAGGCUGGCCUCAAACUUGCCAUCCUCCUAUUCAGCCUCCUGAGCUGCUGGAAUUACAGGUGUGAGUCACUGGUCCCAGCUACAUUCCACAAUUUCUUAGAAAGUUAAAUGCCAUUAACGAACAGAUCUAGCAGUUCCAUGACAAUGUAUGUAUCCAAGAGAAUCGCAAACAUGUUUCACGAAGACUCUAUCAGCUUUAUAUAUCAUGGCCACAAUUCGGAAGAAAUCCAAAUACUUGUCCAUCUGUGAGGAACGCAUCAGGGCAUCACCCACUCGAUGGGAGACUCAUCUGCAAUAAAAGGGACCCAACUACCAGAAACACAGACGAGCCUCAUCUGAAACUAAAGCCAGGCAGAAAGACGACAUAUUGUACGAUUUUUAUAAGAAACAUUGAGAAAAAGCAAAUCUAGGGCUGGGGUUGUGGCUCAAUGGUAGAACACUUGCCUCCUAUGUGUGAAGCACUGGGUUCGAUCCCCAGCACCACAUUAAAAAAAUAAUAAUAAAAUAAUAAUAAACAAAAUAAAGUUAUUUUAAAAAAAAGAAAAAGAAAAAGAGCAAAUCUACAAGUACAGGAAGCAGGUAAGUUACAACCCAGGCCCAGAAGUGGGAUUUACUGCAAACCAGCGGACGAACUCCAGGUGACGGACUGUCCUACAGGUGCAGCACCCUGCUGGCAGCACCACUCCACAAAUGUGCUGAAAAGCGCCAAACUGUGUGUUUAUGGUGGUGAAUUUUAUGGUAUGUAAAUUAUACCUCAGUAACGAAGCUGAAGCUGUCAAAAGUAAGUGCAAGGGGCAGGACCACGACCUACCAAGGCCAACGCCCUGCAGUGCCCCAUCCACCAGCUCCGCCUCUUCCUUCCACACCCAGCUCCUCUCCAGGGCCUUCUCCUCGGCACUAGGAGUGUGUCCCUCAAAUGCUCCCUCCCAGUUGUCUUGAAAAGCUGGCUAAAGGAGAAGAAGCUGUCUGAAGAGCCUCCUGCAGGCCCAGCUGACUGCUUACCUGAGAAUAAUGAAGCUUACAUUUCCACUCAGCAGUCAAGCACAGAAAUUGACCCUGGCACCUUUGUAAGCUAAUCGAGUUACAAAAGGAAUCCUCUUAGGAUCAAAUUCAGGACAACAGCUGCUCUGCUGAUCCAUUUUUAUUAUUACCUUUUCCUUAAAAUCUGCUCUGCCACCCUCUGAUCCAGCCCAACCCAGCCUGGGCGUGUCUGAGAGGCUGGGCAGGGCCCAGGCAUGCACUGAAAUUGAAGGGCUCAGGACACCUGCAAGCAACCUUGACCAUGACGACUCCUGGCACUUGCACAUGUUUCACAAUAACUGAGUACUCUACUUCUAUGACCUCAAGUUCCAGUGGAGCCCUGUCCCUUGCUCUUCCUGGAAGCCACAGACCUGCCCCAAGCCCAGACCCAUAGUAGGAAUGUCAACUGAAUCCUCCCUCCAGGCAGACACUGGCUGAAGAGGGAAAUUCCUGCUCAGCUUCCAGCUGGAGUAGCUGGAGUAGCUGGCAGGGAGGGACCCUCAUGCCUAACCCUAGUCACAACUUUGCAAGCUCAACCCAACAAGGAACAGACAUUUGUACAGAAACCCCCUGAGCGGGGGUGCUGGUCACCCACCCCUGUGUGAGGAGUCACUUGGAGGAACAAUGCCUCUUCACACAGGUCCUGGGCUCCGCCAUCCUCUGUGGCUGCUAGGACUGUGCACCCUGUGCCGCAGAGGCUGCCCCUGUUGCUUGACGAACUGCUGCCAAGUCCAGCACCCCAGGUCACUCCUAGGCGCACCCAGAAAUGCAAUUUUGGGAGGCGGAAACUUACCCCCAGCAAUGCAUGGAAACCCUACCCUAACACAUCUGCAUAUUAAACUACCAAGGACCGAGAAGCUUUCAAAGGGAGAAGAUCAAAGGGCUGUCAUCUUUUAAUUUAAUCCUUUUGUUGCAUCAAUGGUCUUAAGAGGGAUGAGAGAGAUCAAAAUAAAAAUGGAAACAAACUAUAUCUUUAUGGCUGUUGUGUUUUAGUCUUUUUUUCUCAAUUUGGGCCAUAAAAUAGGUCAGCUCCAUUACUGAUCAGCCUUCCCACAAAUAUUUAAAACAAAUUGAAUUGCACACCCAAUACCCAUCACAAUUACACCAGGCACAAUAACUAAAUUAGCAAUUCAACAAAAUAAUUGGAAAUGCGAUUCUCUCUAUUCCACCAGUCUCCCUCGAGGGUUUAGCCGAUCUAUGGGGGAAAACUCAGCUUUCCUAAUUCUGCAGCUAAUUAGAGACACACUUGUAAAUGAAGUUGUUUGUCUUAAAGUUGAAAUUCUCUUCUGGGGUUGGGGAGGAGGCAAGGAGAGAUGAGAAGCCCUUUGCUCGGGAGCAAGUGUACAAACAGGUAUAAAGAACGCGC
rnacentral:lncRNA from 1 species